rnacentral:sRNA from 1 species
UCUCGCCUCGAGAGCCGCUAGCCUGCCG